rnacentral:rRNA from 1 species
GCCUCAGUAACUGCGAGUGAAGCGGCAAAAGCUCAAAUUUGAAAUCUGACGUCUCCUGGCGUUCGAAUUGUAAUUUGGAGGGGCAUUUUCGGAGCUGGCGCCGUCCUAAGUUCCUUGGAACAGGACGUCACAGAGGGUGAGAAUCCCGUGCCUGGAUGGCUGUCCAGCUCCAUGUGAGGUGUCUCCGACGAGUCGAGUUGUUUGGGAAUGCAGCUCAAAAUGGGUGGUAAAUUUCAUCUAAAGCUAAAUACUGGCGAGAGACCGAUAGCGCACAAGUAGAGUGAUCGAAAGAUGAAAAGCACUUUGAAAAGAGAGUUAAAAAGUACGUGAAAUUGUUGAAAGGGAAGCGCUUGAGACCAGACUCAACCUUCGGUGAUCAACUGUGCUUCUGUGCGGUGCACUUGCCGGGGGUUGGGCCAGCAUCGGUUUUGACGGUGGGAUAAAGGUUCGAGGAAUGUGGCUCCCCGAUUCCGGGGAGUGUUAUAGCCCUGAGCGCAAUGCCACCUGUUGGGACCGAGGACCGCGCUUCCGCUAGGAUGCUGGCGCAAUGGUCUUAAGCGGCCCGUCUUGAAACACGGACCAAGGAGUCUAACAUCUAUGCGAGUGUUCGGGUGGAAAACCCUUGCGCGUAAUGAAAGUGAACGGAGGUGGGAACCCUUCGGGGUGCACCAUCGACCGAUCCUGAUGUCUUCGGAAGGAUUUGAGUAGGAGCAUAGCUGUUGGGACCCGAAAGAUGGUGAACUAUGCCUGAAUAGGGUGAAGCCAGAGGAAACUCUGGUGGAGGCUCGCAGCGGUUCUGACGUGCAAAUCGAUCGUC